rnacentral:lncRNA from 1 species
UUUUUUUUUUUUUUUUUUUUUUCUGUCCAAAGUUUCCAUCUGUCCGUUCUGGAAGCUGUAUCUUUCAAAGCUAAAAUCCAGAUGUUUGACUCACUGUUUUGAAAUUAGGAUGGCAUGAGGAAGAGCCAGGUCCUGUGACUAAUUUUCCUGAUUCUGAGUCUUCGAAGGUUUGUCCUGGACACAUUCCAGAGAAUUUCGUACCCAAACAUGGAUGCACAGUCCAGCUUACUACUGAUACAGGCCUGAGCACUGCUGAGGGAGAGGCCCUUCCUCUUGGUGGCCAGCGGUCCCAGUCCACCAGGGAAGGGAGGUUUGAUUGGUUUCUUUGACCCAUACAGAGUUAGUGGACUUGCUCUGGAACUCUAGCCUAGCCCAGCCCAGUCGUAGUGUCCCCUCCCCCCCCUCCCCCAUCUCACACAGCUUUAAAACCGUACUACUUUUAUUUAGAAACAAACAGGAUGGCAGAGAGGACACCUCCCCCGCAUUCCUGGGGGUGGGCAGGAAACUUAGGUCAGGCCUGAGAGCGGGUCCGGCUGUUUCCCUAGAGUACUUACUGUGGGUAGGCUGCCUGUGCUCAUUUGCCCAAUGCCUGUGGGCCAGGUUGCCUGUCUCAGUACUGAGACUCUAGACUUAGGAGAAUCCUCUCCCAGGAGUAGCUAGUUCUACGUCCCUUGUGACUCAAGACACUGCCUGGUCAUCUGCUCCAGUGGCAGACCUGACUUACAAUGUCUACCCUAGUAUGUGGGUAGAAGGAUCUUUCUGUUCCCCCAUUGCACACUGGAGAAGCCCUGGGUACCGAGUGUGGGGACCCCAUGGACAGUACCAUAAGGCUCCCUGCUGAGCCACUAUGCAUUGUGGGGUCAGAGCUCCUGUCCCUCCUUGGUGACUGGGAAUCCCUGCUGUGGUUUUGUUGGACAGGCCCAGGUGACUGCUUCCCAUCCAAAGCCAUCGGUGGAACUUCUGGGGGAUCCUUUGCCAAAACCCCAAGGCAAAAUCCAAGGUCCAAGGCCAUUUCCAGCAGCUUCCCAGUUCCCUUUCCCAUAGGAACUUUUUUGUUGAAACCUAGCUCCCAACAUGCUUCCAAAGGCCAUGUUCCGUCUUUCCUGGAUCACUACAGUGAAGUAUUACAGUUGUACAGUUUCCCAAUCUGGCCUUGGCUUGCUCGGAUAAAACUUUGUUAUGUAUUUUGUAAGGCAUAGAUUCUAUAUUGUAAUGUCCUAUGCAAAAGAAAAAAAAUUAAUGAAAUUGUAAAUUUUAUUGUUUUAACAUGUAUGCAUGUUUAGUGACGUUUACAUUUUGAAAUAAAAUUUAUGAUUCAU